GGCUGAGUCCAUAACUCAUUUUAUACCUUUAUAUUUGGCCCAUGUAUUUAAAUAACUUAGAGGGGUUACAGUUAUUAUAUCAUGAUUAGAGAAAAUCAGAAAUAGGAAUAAAUUGUCUUCCUCGGCGUUGGAGAAGAACUCGCUGCGCAGGUAAAAGGAUACCAUCCUUGUCUAGUUUUUUUCAAAUUUUCGUUGAAUAGGAUUCACUUGAAUUAGAUUGAAUUGUAUAUUAAUUGUUAUUAUAUUGGUAAUGUGGGGUUAGUAUAGUUGUCAGUAGGGUGUAAGUUUGGAUCUGCAAAUGUUUUUCUUUCUUAUUGAGAAAAUAUAGUAAGUGGGGACAAGCUUAUAAGCCAAUCAUUAGGCAAUCAUGACAAUAAUGACAAUUGAAAUGUAUUUAUUUUUUUGUUAGGCAUUAAACAAUACUUUGCAAGGGGUUACGUACAUACUAGUGCAGUUCGUAAUCAGUUGUGUGAGGUCGAUCCUUUUAAGUUAAUUAUUAAAUAUAGGCUUAAGUUUAAUAUAUGCAUAUAGGUAAUUAAUUAUUAGUGUAUAUUAUAUAAUUUAACAUUGAAUUCAAGGGUAUUGGGAGAUGUUAAAGUUAAGUUCUUGGCUGGAAAUUUAGCAAGUAUGAAAAAAUUUGGCAUACCAAUAUAUAUCAAGAUUGGGAGUUUGGUCGGAAAUAUGAGUGAGUUUAGCGUCUAUGAUAGACAUAUAAUAAUUUGAAUGUCUACAAAAAGUUGCUUACUUAUGAAUAUUGCAUAAUUGGUAGAUUGGGAACGUUCCGAAACUUAGCGAAAAGGGAAGGAACUAUCUUGAAGAUUCGUGGCACAAGGUUCGGCUCUUAAGGUAUGUUAAGACUUUUAGACUUGUUGAAGGACGUUUUCCUAAUUAAAGAUUAAAAAUGAAAAUAGACAAAGAGGUAAGGGAGAAAGAUGGGGGUCUCGUAUCAAUGGUGUGACGGGCAUUGGUACGAUUACCGGUGUUAUAAAACGGAUAAUUACUACUAUAGAAUGUGGAUUGUAAUUUGAGAAUGCCAAGCAUAUGGGCAUUAGGUGAUGUAUUAUUGACUUGAAAUCCUAGUGUGAUGGUGUUUUCUUUGUUACACCCGUAUAGUUGUGAUUAUUGAGGUGGUUAUGUAUUAUGUUCAUAUUGAUUGAUUGAGAUGCAUCAUCAUACCCUCUAUUGAAGUAAUAUUGUGCACAUGCAUAGACAUGAUACUGAGUAUAAGUUGGGCACGUGGAGAUCGUUCGUGCUGGGGAUAGUGAGAUGUUAAGAUUGUAAUUUGGGCACGUGGAGACCGUUCGUGCGAAAAUUGUUUGAUAUUAUGAUAGUGCGUUGAGAUCGUCCGCACAGACACGUGGAGAUCGUCCGUGUCGGUAUAUGGACCUCGCGAGUCCCCCAUGGAUUAUGAACUCUCGAUGUAUUUUUGAGGAGUAUCAUGUAUAUACGGUUGAGUGAGUACUGGGUAUUAUGAGACAUAUCAUUACAUGGUAUCAUAGUGCUUUGCAUUUCAUCCCAUCAUUCAUUCUUGAUAAUUAUAUGUUUCGUUUGGUGUUUGGAAAAUACUUAAUGUUGAUUUCUUUAUUGAUGAAACUUAAAUAGUAAUUGUAAUAUA
rnacentral:lncRNA from 1 species